UCUUUGGCGCAGAGUGGUGGGGACACUUAAAAGACCGAAUGAGACGUAAGCAUGCAUUCCACGGGGAAAUUUGAAUAGGAGUGGACGCUGUGACCAGCCUGUGAAAUGGCCUUGUCAAAGCUUUUGCUGGCUGCCGUCGUAGUGACUGUUAUCGCUAUAGUCACAUGUGUCGCUGUUGCUACCACCAUACCUAACGUCACAGAGCUAUCUGAUGCCUCUCAUAGAAGCAGCGAGUCUCCUGUAAUAACGUCUACAAAUCUCUCAGAAAUUGUAGUAAACCCUGGUGAAAAUUAUACUAUAACAUGCAAGGGUGAUACUCCUGUAAUCUGGACCUACCCCAACAUUUCGGACAGUGAACCCAACAUACAUUCAACUUUGAGGAAAGGCAAAUAUAUAUCAUCAAUUCAGCUGACAGAUGUUACAUACAAGGCUGUUGGAUAUUACCAUUGUUUGUUUGAUAAUAACAGUGAGAAAAAUACAUCUAUAUACUUGUAUGUGAAAGAUACAAAGAACCUGCUUACAUAUAGUGACGAAUUCUUUGCACCAAUUCAUGGUAUGCAGUAUCAGGACAUUGUCAUUCCUUGUAAGCCAACACACCCUGAAGUGAAAGUGACGCUCUGCCAUGAUGGUGAUGAAAAAGUUCAUGUUGGUGAAAAUGAUGACCUUGGUGUCAUCAGAUAUGACCAGAAGGUGGGCUUCAUUGUGGAAAAUGCCCAGGUGAUGCACAAUGGAUUCUAUAGUUGCUGCUUACUUCCUGGUGGCAUCUGCAGUGAAGACGAAUGUCCUCGUACAUAUGCUCUUGAAGUGUUAAAACAUGCAGAUUCUGUAGCAAGACCAGCCAUUGAUGAGACCCAUUUGCAACACGUGAAAGUUGGUGAGAAUGUGACUAUAGAGUGUAGAAUUACUGUACCCACUUCAACAAGGUAUGAUUUGGAAUGGAUAGUUCCAAAUGAGAGUGAACGUAUCACAGUAGAAAAAAUAGAGAUAGAGCCUCCAAUGAGCCCUGGGCACCAUUUAACAACAGGAAGAAGAAAAUUAAAAAUAUUUAAUGCAAAAUUGGAAGACACAGGGAACUACACUUGUAAAGUGAAAGAUCAUGCAAAAAAUAUCAACAGUGAAACGAUAUAUUUGAAAAUUUUUAAAAGGAAUGAGGCUUACAUAAACUUGACAGUAAAUGGGAACAAAACUAAUAUGGAAGUUGUUGAAGGACAGAACUUGAAGUGGGUCAUCAGUGUUGAAGCACAUCCACAGCCUGAGUUUUCGUGGUACAAGAAUGAUGAUGUAAUCAACAAUUCAUCUAGAAUGAUUGUUUCAACCAAAUCUAAUGGGAAACAGUCUAUACUGGAAAUAAAACGGGUUACUAUUGAAGAUAGAGGUACUUACGAAAUGCGUGCAACAAAUGAAAAUUUCACCAAAGAACUGACACUGAAACUUAUUGUGCUUGGAAAACCUCAUGUCUACAUGCCACAAUAUCCAGUGAAAUUUUUGUAUAAACCAUCUCAGAAAGCAAGUGCCAAAGUAAAUGCCACUAUUCUUGGAAGGCCAAGCCCAAAUGUGACUUGGUUUUUUCAGCCAGAGGGUAAGGAGAGAAUGGCCAUCAAUAAUGAAAAUUUCAAAAAUUAUAUUGUCAGUGAAGAGGAUGAAGAGGAUGGAUAUGAAACAAUUUCAGAACUGCAGCUGAAUGCUACAGUGUCUGGAACAGUGGAAUGCAUUGCUGCUAAUAAGUAUGGAAGUGACACAGAGAAAACACAGAUCAUCAUCACUGAUGUAGCAGAUGGUUUUGGAAUAUUACCAGUGCAGGAAGAAAUUGUAGAAGGAGACACUGUCAUUCUUACAUGCCGAGCAUCACAUCGUAAUUUCACUAAUAACAUGAAAUGGUAUAGAAAUGGAGAUGAAGUUGAUGGAUACAGCGAUACCAAACGUAUUUCAAUACGGCAAGGAGAAACAGUUUAUUCAUUUCAGUCGGAGUUGAUAAUUGCAAAUGCAUCGGAGUCUGAUGAAGCUGAAUAUAAAUGUGUUGCCUGUACACCCAGUCCAAGCAAUUGCUCAGAUGCAGUUUCCACUUUCAAAGUGGCAGCUAUGAAAAGCCCGCAGUUCAGCAAGGACACAAACAUGAAUGGCGGUGAACAUCUCUUAGACAACCUGUCUCGGUACAGCCUUAAUUGCAGGCCAAGUGGAGUUCCAAAACCUCAAAUUGUCUGGAUGAAGGAUGGAAAGCCACUUCCUGUGAAGCCAAAUGACACAUCAAUAGAAUUUAUGCAUAACCAUACUACUCUUGUAAUUAAACAGUUCACAGCAGAACAUGCAGGGUUAUACACAUGUACUGCCAUAAAUCCCAGAAAUAAAAAUGACCGGAAAUCAGUAACAGCUACAUUGAAAUUCAAAGAUGAAGGUGGUACGGUAAUAAGUAUUGUUGUUGCUGUAGCUCUAGUUGUCAUAUUUAUUCUCGCUGCUGUACUUGCUGUAAAAAUGCUAAGAGACAGAAAAAAUCGCAAAGAACAGAGGAUUGCUGGUCUUAUGCAUUUUACAGAAGGGGCAAUAAGUAACAUGAAUCCAGACCUUCCUGUUGAUGAACAGGCUGAACUACUUCCAUAUGACAAGAAGUGGGAGUUCCCCCGAGAAAAGUUAAGACUCGGCAAACAGCUCGGUUCGGGAGCUUUUGGUGUUGUUAUGAAGGCAGAAGCAUUUGGCAUCUUGGAAGAAGAACCUGUCACAACAGUAGCAGUUAAAAUGGUGAAAAGAAACACUGACUAUACGUACAUCAAAGCAUUAGCAUCAGAACUCAAAAUAAUGGUACAUCUAGGAAAGCAUCUGAAUGUUGUAAACUUGCUUGGAGCAUGCACAACAAACAUAACGAAGAAGGAACUGUUGGUUAUAGUGGAAUACUGCCGAUUUGGAAAUCUGCACAACUACCUUUUACGUCAUCGUGAUGAAUUUAUUGACCAGAUAGAUCCAAAAACAGGAACGGUAGAUCCAACUAUUGGGCAAGAGAUACUGGAAAGAGCUGACUCAUUUAAUAAAAAGAACAGGGUGAAGUAUGCAGCACUUUCCUUCACAAACAGUCUCUCUGGAGGGGACAUAGCUGUCGAUUAUCGAGCAGCAGGUGCUAUGGUACCAUCUUCAAACAGCAGUGGCAGUGAAGCUGAUCAUGUGUCCAUGCUUCCAGCUGGUGAAGAUGAUUAUGUGAUGAGCAACAACAGCAUACAACCAGAAUGGAGAUCCAAUUACAGAGGAGAUUACAAAGGCAAUGUUCGUCCAAUAUGUACCUGUGACCUACUGUGUUGGGCAUUCCAGGUAGCUAAAGGAAUGGAAUAUCUUGCUUCUCGGAAGGUUCUUCAUGGAGAUCUGGCUGCAAGGAACAUUUUACUUGCUGAUGAAAAUGUAGUGAAGAUCUGUGAUUUUGGUCUAGCGAAGAGCAUGUACAAAUCAAACAACUAUAAGAAGAAAGGAGAUGGCCCAUUACCUGUUAAGUGGAUGGCCAUUGAAUCGAUCAGAGACAGGAUAUUCUCAACACAAUCUGAUGUCUGGUCAUAUGGAAUUGUGCUCUGGGAGUUUUUUUCUUUGGCAAGGACACCAUACCCAGCCACCAAACAAUGCUGGAUUGUUGGCAUUUAAAUCCAAACAAAAGACCUUCGUUUACGGAACUAAGUGAAAGAAUUGGGAAUAUGCUCGAAGAUAGUGUGAAGAAACACUACAUUGAUUUGAAUGAUCCAUAUAUAGACAUGAAUUCAGAAUGGAUGCAGAACACACAAAGUGAUUAUCUGAGUAUGAUGAGUGCUCCUACAUAUGGCAAUCUAGUAUCACCAAUUGAAGAUAAUGAUUACAUCAA
rnacentral:misc_RNA from 1 species